CCUGUGAGGGUUGCUGGAGGUAUCAGAAGUGCGAAUGCUGACAUAAGUAACGAUAAAGCGGGUGAAAAGCCCGCUCGCCGGAAGACCAAGGGUUCCUGUCCAACGUUAAUCGGGGCAGGGUGAGUCGACCCCUAAGGCGAGGCCGAAAGGCGUAGUCGAUGGGAAACAGGUUAAUAUUCCUGUACUUGGUGUUACUGCGAAGGGGGGACGGAGAAGGCUAUGUUAGCCGGGCGACGGUUGUCCCGGUUUAAGCAUGUAGGCUGGUUAUCCAGGCAAAUCCGGAUAAUCAAGGCUGAGGUGUGAUGACGAGGCACUACGGUGCUGAAGUAACAAAUGCCCUGCUUCCAGGAAAAGCCUCUAAGCAUCAGGUAACAUCAAAUCGUACCCCAAACCGACACAGGUGGUCAGGUAGAGAAUACCAAGGCGCUUGAGAGAACUCGGGUGAAGGAACUAGGCAAAAUGGUGCCGUAACUUCGGGAGAAGGCACGCUGGUGUGUAGGUGAAGCCCCUGCGGGUGGAGCUGAGACCAGUCGAAGAUACCAGCUGGCUGCAACUGUUUAUUAAAAACACAGCACUGUGCAAACACGAAAGUGGACGUAUACGGUGUGACGCCUGCCCGGUGCCGGAAGGUUAAUUGAUGGGGUUAUCCGUAAGGAGAAGCUCUUGAUCGAAGCCCCGGUAAACGGCGGCCGUAACUAUAACGGUCCUAAGGUAGCGAAAUUCCUUGUCGGGUAAGUUCCGACCUGCACGAAUGGCGUAAUGAUGGCCAGGCUGUCUCCACCCGAGACUCAGUGAAAUUGAACUCGCUGUGAAGAUGCAGUGUACCCGCGGCAAGACGGAAAGACCCCGUGAACCUUUACUAUAGCUUGACACUGAACAUUGAGCCUUGAUGUGUAGGAUAGGUGGGAGGCUUUGAAGCGUGGACGCCAGUCUGCGUGGAGCCAACCUUGAAAUACCACCCUUUAAUGUUUGAUGUUCUAACGUUGGCCCCUUAUCGGGGUUGCGGACAGUGUCUGGUGGGUAGUUUGACUGGGGCGGUCUCCUCCCAAAGCGUAACGGAGGAGCACGAAGGUUAGCUAAUCCUGGUCGGACAUCAGGAGGUUAGUGCAAUGGCAUAAGCUAGCUUGACUGCGAGCGUGACGGCGCGAGCAGGUGCGAAAGCAGGUCAUAGUGAUCCGGUGGUUCUGAAUGGAAGGGCCAUCGCUCAACGGAUAAAAGGUACUCCGGGGAUAACAGGCUGAUACCGCCCAAGAGUUCAUAUCGACGGCGGUGUUUGGCACCUCGAUGUCGGCUCAUCACAUCCUGGGGCUGAAGUAGGUCCCAAGGGUAUGGCUGUUCGCCAUUUAAAGUGGUACGCGAGCUGGGUUUAGAACGUCGUGAGACAGUUCGGUCCCUAUCUGCCGUGGGCGCUGGAGAAUUGAGGGGGGCUGCUCCUAGUACGAGAGGACCGGAGUGGACGCAUCACUGGUGUUCGGGUUGUCAUGCCAAUGGCACUGCCCGGUAGCUAAAUGCGGAAGAGAUAAGUGCUGAAAGCAUCUAAGCACGAAACUUGCCCCGAGAUGAGUUCUCCCUGAGACUUUAAGUCUCCUGAAGGAACGUUGAAGACGACGACGUUGAUAGGCCGGGUGUGUAAGCGCAGCGAUGCGUUGAGCUAACCGGUACUAAUGAACCGUGAGGCUUAACCUU
rnacentral:rRNA from 1 species